GGUUAAGCGACUAAGCGUACACGGUGGAUGCCCUGGCAGUCAGAGGCGAUGAAGGACGUGCUAAUCUGCGAUAAGCGUCGGUAAGGUGAUAUGAACCGUUAUAACCGGCGAUUUCCGAAUGGGGAAACCCAGUGUGAUUCGUCACACUAUCAUUAACUGAAUCCAUAGGUUAAUGAGGCGAACCGGGGGAACUGAAACAUCUAAGUACCCCGAGGAAAAGAAAUCAACCGAGAUUCCCCCAGUAGCGGCGAGCGAACGGGGAGCAGCCCAGAGCCUGAAUCAGUGUGUGUGUUAGUGGAAGCGUCUGGAAAGGCGCGCGAUACAGGGUGACAGCCCCGUACACAAAAAUGCACAUACUGUGAGCUCGAUGAGUAGGGCGGGACACGUGGUAUCCUGUCUGAAUAUGGGGGGACCAUCCUCCAAGGCUAAAUACUCCUGACUGACCGAUAGUGAACCAGUACCGUGAGGGAAAGGCGAAAAGAACCCCGGCGAGGGGAGUGAAAAAGAACCUGAAACCGUGUACGUACAAGCAGUGGGAGCACGCUUAGGCGUGUGACUGCGUACCUUUUGUAUAAUGGGUCAGCGACUUAUAUUCUGUAGCAAGGUUAACCGAAUAGGGGAGCCGAAGGGAAACCGAGUCUUAACUGGGCGUUAAGUUGCAGGGUAUAGACCCGAAACCCGGUGAUCUAGCCAUGGGCAGGUUGAAGGUUGGGUAACACUAACUGGAGGACCGAACCGACUAAUGUUGAAAAAUUAGCGGAUGACUUGUGGCUGGGGGUGAAAGGCCAAUCAAACCGGGAGAUAGCUGGUUCUCCCCGAAAGCUAUUUAGGUAGCGCCUCGUGAAUUCAUCUCCGGGGGUAGAGCACUGUUUCGGCAAGGGGGUCAUCCCGACUUACCAACCCGAUGCAAACUGCGAAUACCGGAGAAUGUUAUCACGGGAGACACACGGCGGGUGCUAACGUCCGUCGUGAAGAGGGAAACAACCCAGACCGCCAGCUAAGGUCCCAAAGUCAUGGUUAAGUGGGAAACGAUGUGGGAAGGCCCAGACAGCCAGGAUGUUGGCUUAGAAGCAGCCAUCAUUUAAAGAAAGCGUAAUAGCUCACUGGUCGAGUCGGCCUGCGCGGAAGAUGUAACGGGGCUAAACCAUGCACCGAAGCUGCGGCAGCGACGCUUAUGCGUUGUUGGGUAGGGGAGCGUUCUGUAAGCCUGCGAAGGUGUGCUGUGAGGCAUGCUGGAGGUAUCAGAAGUGCGAAUGCUGACAUAAGUAACGAUAAAGCGGGUGAAAAGCCCGCUCGCCGGAAGACCAAGGGUUCCUGUCCAACGUUAAUCGGGGCAGGGUGAGUCGACCCCUAAGGCGAGGCCGAAAGGCGUAGUCGAUGGGAAACAGGUUAAUAUUCCUGUACUUGGUGUUACUGCGAAGGGGGGACGGAGAAGGCUAUGUUGGCCGGGCGACGGUUGUCCCGGUUUAAGCGUGUAGGCUGGUUUUCCAGGCAAAUCCGGAAAAUCAAGGCUGAGGCGUGAUGACGAGGCACUACGGUGCUGAAGCAACAAAUGCCCUGCUUCCAGGAAAAGCCUCUAAGCAUCAGGUAACAUCAAAUCGUACCCCAAACCGACACAGGUGGUCAGGUAGAGAAUACCAAGGCGCUUGAGAGAACUCGGGUGAAGGAACUAGGCAAAAUGGUGCCGUAACUUCGGGAGAAGGCACGCUGAUAUGUAGGUGAAGUGAUUUACUCAUGGAGCUGAAAUCAGUCGAAGAUACCAGCUGGCUGCAACUGUUUAUUAAAAACACAGCACUGUGCAAACACGAAAGUGGACGUAUACGGUGUGACGCCUGCCCGGUGCCGGAAGGUUAAUUGAUGGGGUUAGCGCAAGCGAAGCUCUUGAUCGAAGCCCCGGUAAACGGCGGCCGUAACUAUAACGGUCCUAAGGUAGCGAAAUUCCUUGUCGGGUAAGUUCCGACCUGCACGAAUGGCGUAAUGAUGGCCAGGCUGUCUCCACCCGAGACUCAGUGAAAUUGAACUCGCUGUGAAGAUGCAGUGUACCCGCGGCAAGACGGAAAGACCCCGUGAACCUUUACUAUAGCUUGACACUGAACAUUGAGCCUUGAUGUGUAGGAUAGGUGGGAGGCUUUGAAGUGUGGACGCCAGUCUGCAUGGAGCCGACCUUGAAAUACCACCCUUUAAUGUUUGAUGUUCUAACGUGGACCCGUAAUCCGGGUUGCGGACAGUGUCUGGUGGGUAGUUUGACUGGGGCGGUCUCCUCCUAAAGAGUAACGGAGGAGCACGAAGGUUGGCUAAUCCUGGUCGGACAUCAGGAGGUUAGUGCAAUGGCAUAAGCCAGCUUGACUGCGAGCGUGACGGCGCGAGCAGGUGCGAAAGCAGGUCAUAGUGAUCCGGUGGUUCUGAAUGGAAGGGCCAUCGCUCAACGGAUAAAAGGUACUCCGGGGAUAACAGGCUGAUACCGCCCAAGAGUUCAUAUCGACGGCGGUGUUUGGCACCUCGAUGUCGGCUCAUCACAUCCUGGGGCUGAAGUAGGUCCCAAGGGUAUGGCUGUUCGCCAUUUAAAGUGGUACGCGAGCUGGGUUUAGAACGUCGUGAGACAGUUCGGUCCCUAUCUGCCGUGGGCGCUGGAGAACUGAGGGGGGCUGCUCCUAGUACGAGAGGACCGGAGUGGACGCAUCACUGGUGUUCGGGUUGUCAUGCCAAUGGCACUGCCCGGUAGCUAAAUGCGGAAGAGAUAAGUGCUGAAAGCAUCUAAGCACGAAACUUGCCCCGAGAUGAGUUCUCCCUGACUCCUUGAGAGUCCUGAAGGAACGUUGAAGACGACGACGUUGAUAGGCCGGGUGUGUAAGCGCAGCGAUGCGUUGAGCUAACCGGUACUAAUGAACCGUGAGGCUUAACCUU
rnacentral:rRNA from 1 species